rnacentral:rRNA from 1 species
UACAGAGACCUCAAGCAUUAUCCGGAUUUAUUGGGCGUAAAGCGUCCGCAGGUUGUUUGGCGGGUCAGGGGUUAAAACUCACAGCUUAACUGUGAGAUUGCUUUUGAAACUACCAAACUAGAGGGUGGAAGAGGUAAGCGGAAUUCUCGGUGUAGCGGUGAAAUGCGUAGAUAUCGAGAGGAACACCUGCGGCGAAGGCGGGUUGCUGGGCCGACACUGACGCUGAUGCGCGAAAGCCAGGGGAGCGAACGGG